rnacentral:rRNA from 1 species
GGUUAAAAAGCUCGUAGUUGGAUUUCUGUUGAGGGCGACCGGUGUACACCUCGUGUAUGUAUUUGGUUCGGUCUCGGCAUCCUCUUGGGGAACGUUUCUGGACCUUAUUGGACAGGGCGAGAUUCAAGACUUUUACUUUGAGGAAAUUAGAGUGUUCACGGCAGGCAAGCGCUUUGAAUACAUUAGCAUGGAAUAAUAAUAUAGGACCUUCGUUCUAUUUUGUUGGUUUCUAGAACUUAGGUAAUGAUUAAUAGGGACAAUUGGGGGCAUUCGUAUUAACGCGUCAGAGGUGGAAUUCUUGGAUUGCGUUACGACGAACUACUGCGAAAGCAUUUGCCAAAGAUGUUUUCAUUGAUCAAGAACGAAAGUAUGGGGAUCGAAGACGCUUAGAUACCGUCGUAGUCUAUACCAUAAACUAUGCCAAUUAGAGAUUGGAGGUCGUUCGUUUUAUGACUCCUUCAGCACCUUAUGAGAAAUCAAAAUUUUUGGGUUCCGGGGGGAGUAUGGUCGCAAGGCUGAGACUUAAAGGAAUUGACGGAAGGGCACCACCAGGAGUGGCGCCUGCGGCUUAAUUUGACUCAACACGGGGAAACUUACCAGGUCCAGACAUAGUAAGGAUUGACAGAUUGAUAGCUCUUUCUUGAUUCUAUGGGUGGUGGUGCAUGG